rnacentral:rRNA from 1 species
GAUGAACGCUGGCGGCGUGCCUAAUACAUGCAAGUCGAGCGAACGGACGCGAAGCUUGCUUCUCUGAUGUUAGCGGCGGACGGGUGAGUAACACGUGGAUAACCUACCUAUAAGACUGGGAUCACUUCGGGAAACCGGAGCUAAUACCGGAUAAUCUUUUGAACCGCAUGGUUCAAAAGUGAAAGACGGUCUUGCUGUCACUUAUAGAUGGAUCCGCGCUGCAUUAGCUAGUUGGUAAGGUAACGGCUUACCAAGGCAACGAUGCAUAGCCGACGUGAGAGGGUGAUCGGCCACACUGGAGCGGAGACACGGUCCAGACUCCUACGGGAGGCAGCAGUAGGGAAUCGUCCGCAAUGGGCGAAAGCCUGACGGAGCAACGCCGCGUGAGUGAUGAAGGUCUUCGGAUCGUAAAACUCUGUUAUUAGGGAAGAACAUAUGUGUAAGUAACUGUGCACAGCGUGACGGUACCUAAUCAGAAAGCCACGGCUAACUACGUG